rnacentral:rRNA from 1 species
CUACGGGUCGCUGCAGUGAGGAAUUUUGCGCAAUGGGCGAAAGCCUGACGCAGCAACGCCGCGUGAGUGACGAAGGCCUUCGGGUCGUAAAGCUCUGUCAAGUGGGAAGAACCCGCUUGUGUGCAAUAUGCGCAAGCGCUGACGGUACCACUGAAGGAAGCACCGGCUAACUCCGUGCCAGCAGCCGCGGUAAUACGGAGGGUGCGAGCGUUAUUCGGAAUUAUUGGGCGUAAAGGGCGCGCAGGCGGCCCGUCAAGUCAGAUGUGAAAGCCCGGGGCUCAACCUCGGAAGUGCAUUUGAUACUGUAGGGCUUGAGUAUGGGAGAGGGAAGUGGAAUUCCUGGUGUAGAGGUGAAAUUCGUAGAUAUCAGGAGGAACACCGGUGGCGAAGGCGACUUCCUGGACCAAUACUGACGCUGAGGCGCGAAGGCGUGGGGAGCAAACAGGAUUAGAUACCCGGGUAGUC